UCACCUUUGGCCGUUUUUACCAAAACACAGCACUUUGCCAACUCGUAAGAGGAAGUAUAAGGUGUGACGCCUGCCCGGUGCUCGAAGGUUAAGAGGAUGCGUCAGUCGCAAGAUGAAGCGUUGAAUUGAAGCCCGAGUAAACGGCGGCCGUAACUAUAACGGUCCUAAGGUAGCGAAAUUCCUUGUCGGUUAAAUACCGACCUGCAUGAAUGGCGUAACGAGAUGGGAGCUGUCUCAACCAGAGAUUCAGUGAAAUUGUAGUGGAGGUGAAAAUUCCUCCUACCCGCGGCAAGACGGAAAGACCCCGUGGACCUUUACUACAACUUAGCACUGCUAACGGGAAUAUCAUGCGCAGGAUAGGUGGGAGGCUUUGAAGUAAGGGCUUUGGCUCUUAUGGAGA
rnacentral:rRNA from 1 species